rnacentral:rRNA from 1 species
UACAGAGGGUGCAAGCGUUAUUCGGAUUUACUGGGCGUAAAGAGCACGUAGGCGGUUCUUCAAGUCUGAUGUGAAAUCCCUGGACUCAAUCCAGGAAGUGCAUCGGAUACUGUCGAACUCGAGUACAGGAGAGGACAGCGGAAUUCCCGGUGUAGAGGUGAAAUUCGUAGAUAUCGGGAGGAACAACAGUGGCGAAGGCGGCUGUCUGGACUGUAACUGACACUGAGGUGCGAAAGCGUGGGGAGCAAACAGG